CCCGCCGCCGCGCAGCUUCGGUUAUCUAAGCUGUUACCGCUCAUUUCUCUCGCUAAUUUCUUAUUAACCAUCACUCUAGCUGGUCAGCUCCGUUUCAAGCAGUAAUUCAGUCUCAGGAAAAUCCACUUGUGGCACGCCGAUCAGCCAGGAGGUACUCCUCACUCCUCAAGAGUUUACAGAACCUCGAUUGAACUUACGCAGUUUGUGUUCAGCAGCCUAUCAGGAGUAAAGACGAACAGAAAAGAGGACACAUUGUGUCUUGGGUUGAGCUCACUCGCCCACUUGAAUUCGCACUUAGAAGAUGUAUGUGUUUGUGGCAGUUAAACCAGAAAGUUAAUGAGCAUUUGAACUUCCAAGGAAACAAGGUGAUUUGGAUAAAAAAAAUCAGAACAAAUCCCCCUUGAUUGGAGGAAUGACAGGAACGAAGAAAUGACAAGUCAGUGCCAAACUAUUUGCAGACCACUUACACAGUCCUAGAAAAGAAUCUGUCUCUCCCUAAAGAUUUCUUCCAAUGAAGUGCUAAGCUCAAAGUCUUUUGUUCUACCUUCAUAAUUUUCCAAUUUCCAUUCUUUUUGCAGGUUUUCUUGUUCUAUUUACAGGAAUAAACUGAAUAGCUAUGUGCUACUCUAGUAUUUAAAAAAAAUAUAAGGAAAAGGAGUACAAUAUAACACAAAUGUAAAAUUUUUAUUAUAGCCUGAGAAAUGUUUAAUGUUAAAAACAGAAGCACAAUGUACAUUCACAUGCUUUUUAAAGUGUUCUGUGAACUUGUAAAGCUCUGAAGAAAGACUUUUAUGGACAAAAGGAAAGAGGAACAGAGUCUAAUGUCCCAUGAACUCUGAACUCUAUCAACGAGUUUUACUAUAGUGAUGUCCUUAAAAAAAAAAGUUAUGGUACUGCAUGUUUCUGACACAUAUGGUGAUUUAUAAACAUCAAAAUUUUCAAUUUAUCAACAUUUCUUCAUCUGAUCUUAUGCAGUCUUGAAUUGACAGAUAAAGAGAGUUGCCAACAUCCCCCCAGAAAGCAAUGUAGGAAUUGUUAUGCAUACACUCACUUAAUGCUCCAGUUCAGAUAUGUAAACCCACCUGGUCAGGAAAGACUUGUGAGAUAAAAAUGCUCCUUUGAAAAAAAUUGAAGUUCAGUGACAGCUUAGAUUCUCACUGAAGUCUUAAAAACUUGGAUUUAGAAAAAGAGUGAGAAGUUCCAAUUUU